CGGCAGCACAGUAAGAGCUUGCUCUUAUGGGUGGCGAGUGGCGGACGGGUGAGGAAUACAUCGGAAUCUACCUUUUCGUGGGGGAUAACGUAGGGAAACUUACGCUAAUACCGCAUACGACCUUCGGGUGAAAGCAGGGGACCUUCGGGCCUUGCGCGGAUAGAUGAGCCGAUGUCGGAUUAGCUAGUUGGCGGGGUAAAGGCCCACCAAGGCGACGAUCCGUAGCUGGUCUGAGAGGAUGAUCAGCCACACUGGAACUGAGACACGGUCCAGACUCCUACGGGAGGCAGCAGUGGGGAAUAUUGGACAAUGGGCGCAAGCCUGAUCCAGCCAUACCGCGUGGGUGAAGAAGGCCUUCGGGUUGUAAAGCCCUUUUGUUGGGAAAGAAAAGCAGUCGGCUAAUACCCGGUUGUUCUGACGGUACCCAAAGAAUAAGCACCGGCUAACUUCGUGCCAGCAGCCGCGGUAAUACGAAGGGUGCAAGCGUUACUCGGAAUUACUGGGCGUAAAGCGUGCGUAGGUGGUUGUUUAAGUCUGUUGUGUAAGCCCUGGGCUCAACCUGGGAAUUGCAGUGGAUACUGGGCGACUAGAGUGUGGUGGAGGGUAGUGGAAUUCCCGGUGUAGCAGUGAAAUGCGUAGAGAUCGGGAGGAACAUCCAUGGCGAAGGCAGCUACCUGGACCAACACUGACACUGA
rnacentral:rRNA from 1 species